AAUUCUCAACCUUCAAUACUUUUUUUAAAACGAAAGUGUCGAAGGCUUGGACUUGGAGGCUUGUGCUGGCUCUUUACCGAGUCGGCUCCUCUGAAAUGUAUUAGCGUGAAUCACUAUGGAUCGCUUCGGUGUGAUAAUUAUCUGCGCCGUGGUCGUGAAGUAUUAAUUCAAGUUCGCGCUUCUAAUCGUCCUUCACGGGACAAUUACAUUGAAC
rnacentral:misc_RNA from 1 species